rnacentral:tRNA from 1 species
UUUAAUUUAGUAUAAAGUAUUACACCUUAUUUACACUAAGGUAAUGUUUUUUGACAGUUAAAA